rnacentral:rRNA from 1 species
AACGAACGCUGGCGGCAGGCUUAACACAUGCAAGUCGAACGGGUGUAGCAAUACAUCAGUGGCAGACGGGUGAGUAACACGUGGGAACCUUCCUCGUUGUACGGAACAACUCAGGGAAACUUGAGCUAAUACCGUAUACGUCCGAGAGGAGAAAGAUUUAUCGCAAUGAGACGGGCCCGCGUCGGAUUAGCUAGUUGGUGGGGUAAUGGCCUACCAAGGCGACGAUCCGUAGCUGAUCUGAGAGGAUGAUCAGCCACACUGGGACUGAGACACGGCCCAGACUCCUACGGGAGGCAGCAGUGGGGAAUCUUGGACAAUGGGCGCAAGCCUGAUCCAGCCAUGCCGCGUGAGUGAAGAAGGCCUUAGGGUUGUAAAGCUCUUUUGCCAGGGACGAUAAUGACGGUACCUGGAGAAUAAGCCCCGGCAAACUUCGUGCCAGCAGCCGCGGUAAUACGAAGGGGGCGUAGCGUUGUUCGGAUUUACUGGGCGUAAAGCGCACGUA